rnacentral:rRNA from 1 species
CAGUCGCCGCGGGAAUACGUAGGUGGCAAGCGUUGUCCGGAAUUAUUGGGCGUAAAGGGCUCGCAGGCGGUUUCUUAAGUCUGAUGUGAAAGCCCCCGGCUCAACCGGGAAGGGUCAUUGGAAACUGGGAAACUUGAGUGCAGAAGAGGAGAGUGGAAUUCCACGUGUAGCGGUGAAAUGCGUAGAGAUGUGGAGGAACACCAGUGGCGAAGGCGACUCUCUGGUCUGUAACUGACGCUGAGGAGCGAAAGCGUGGGGAGCGAACAGGAUUAGAUACCCCUGUAGUCCCUGUCUCUUAUAC